rnacentral:rRNA from 1 species
UGCGUGAAACCGUUUGGAGGUAAACGGGUGGGAGCGCGAAGGUCGAACGGAUGGGAAGGGAUUCAACUUGGCGUAGUACGCUGGUGCGAGUUUGGCGUGAGUUGGCCUCCUCUGUCCUCCUUGGAGGUGCAGUUGGGCUUGGCUCCGCGUUACUUGUGCUUAGUAGUCUACUGUGCCUUGUGCAUUUCCCUAAUUCCCCUCUCCUAGUAGGACGCCGCGACCGGCUGUCGAGGGGAGCCCAGGAGCUGGUUGAAGCAGUUGCGCGGAUGAGUAAGGGAUUAGUUCUCUGCGUCUGGUCUGUCUGUCUUCUUCCAAAUCGGCGGGUUUGCUUCCUCCGGCCGAGGUACUGAGCGAGCUGGGCCCUUUUAGGGUCCCUCGUCCAUGAACGCGCCCAUGAUCUGGUCGGUGCGGGUCGAUAAAACCCCACGGGUGGCAGCCGGUGUGCUGCGCGCCAGUCCUUGUGAUUGCGCGUGCGUAUGCUUGUGCGUCAGCCGCCGUCUGGUCAGGGUGUGGACUCCCGCAAUGGGGUGCUAGGGGUCAGCGGCGAGUAGGUCGGUUUCCCACCCGACCCGUCUUGAAACACGGACCAAGAAGUCUAACGUGUGGGCGAGUCUUCGGGGCCUUACAAACCCUAUAUGAAGGCGAAAUGAAAGUGAAAAAAGGUGAAAGCCUUUUUGGGUGGGAUCCGCCGUCUAAAGACGGCGGCGCACCACCGGCCCGUCCAACGAUCGCAUUGCCGGUCGGGCGGAGCAAGAGCCCACACGUUGGGAC